ensembl:snoRNA
GUUCAUGUGAUGAAUUUGGCUGUUCAGCUGCUGGGUGACUCAGAAAUUAACUAAAUUAAAUUCUGAUUAAA